AUUGAACGCUGGCGGCAUGCCUUACACAUGCAAGUCGAACGGCAGCACGGGGGCAACCCUGGUGGCGAGUGGCGAACGGGUGAGGUAAUGCAUCGGAACGUGCCCGGUAGUGGGGAUAGCCCGGCGAAAGCCGGAUUAAUACCGCAUACGCACUGAGGUGGAAAGCGGGGGACCUUCGGGCCUCGCGCUAUCGGAGCGGCCGAUGUCGGAUUAGCUAGUUGGUGGGGUAAAGGCCUACCAAGGCGACGAUCCGUACCUGGUCUGAGAGGACGACCAGGCACACUGGGACUGAGACACGGGCCCCAGACUCCUACGGGAGGCAGCAGUGGGGAAUUUUGGACAAUGGGCGCAUGCCUGAUCCAGCAAUGCCGCGUGUGUGAAGAAGGCCCUUCGGGUUGUAAAGCACUUUUGUCCGGAAAGAAAUCUCCUGGGUUAAUACCUCGGGGGAGUGACGGUACCGGAAGAAUAAGCACCGGCUAACUACGUGCCAGCAGCCGCGGUAAUACGUAGGGUGCGAGCGUUAAUCGGAAUUACUGGGCGUAAAGCGUGCGCAGGCGGCUAUGCAAGACAGAUGUGAAAUCCCCGGGCUCAACCUGGGAACUGCAUUUGUGACUGCAUGGCUAGAGUGCGUCAGAGGGAGGUGGAAUUCCGCGUGUAGCAGUGAAAAUGCGUAGAGAUGCGGAGGAACACCGAU
rnacentral:rRNA from 1 species